rnacentral:lncRNA from 1 species
AACAACUCAACACAUUGUUGUCGUCUUAUCAUAUAUAUAUAGAAAUUUACCGUUUUAACAUAAAAUUACGAGGAAUAUUCAGAGGGAAAUACGAAUGAUACACGACAACGUCAAGGUCAACUUUUAUUUUUAUUUAUUUUUGAAUGCCAAUAAGAUUCUUUUUGGCUGAGCCUGAACUUGAACCGUAUGUCAUUGCUUCAGGAGAAAACUAAAGAAUUAGCGCAUAGAGUGGAGAAGAAAUAUCAAAGCACGUGAAUAGGAAGUGAUUGAUGAGAGUUGACUUGGACUUGGGAGUAACGGAAAAGUUGUAAACAAUUAUUAAUACGGGUAAUUUUUAUCCCACCCCCAAAGGUUUCGAUAUUUGACAUCGCGACACCAAAUGAAUGAAUGAUUUUCCGCGUACCACCGCGUAACCAUUCUGUCCAAAUCAGCCAUUAAAUUAAACGAUUUUGCUUUUAAAUUUGUUCAAGUGACGGAUAUGUCCCUAAUUUGAAUUGCAUCGAUUGAAAAUAUACUGAAAUACCCUUGCAACUAAACAAUUUUUUCAUUACCAAUAUAAUUUUUUUAAAACUAAUAUAAAAAAUAAAAUCUAAAGCCAAUUGAACAACUUCCCGCACUUUACAGUAAACAACAACCAAAUAAUGGGCAAUAAAUUGUUAAUAAAGAAAGAAUUAUAGAUGAGUGCUGCUAUCUAUCCCAAGUUAAAUCUCGAGCAUUACAAUUAAUGACAUUGUUUUAAUUAAUUUUAAUUUUUUUAGAUAAAGUUUAACUUUUGCAUUUUACCUUUUCCUUUUUCUUCCCAACUACAAACUCCUUUGUCUUCCUUCUGGCCUACACAAUUUAGUUCUAUAAAAAUAAAAAGUAACCAGGCCACACGAUUCAAGCGUGUUCGUUUGUUGUGAUGCAUAUAUAUAAUAAAUAAAAGGCAACUCAAGUGCAGAAAUAUCAUAUUGGUCAUGACUAUCGCGUGAUGGCUGAGAAUGGUGGCAGUAGUUGUCGUUAUGCGAUUGCUUAAUUUCCGGAGCAUGGAGUUAUGGGAGUUGUGCUCUAUGGUUGAAGUUGUGGCUGCCAUUUUAUAAGUGGUUAUGGCUGUCGCAUGAUAGCUCUACUUGGUGGCGGUGGCUGGAGAGAAUUGUGGUUGUAAACAUGACAAUCUAAAAGAUAAAUAACAUUUUCUUUCAUUUUUUUUUAAUUUUGAUUCAAUAACAUUUUUUAUUCUGAAAAUAACAAUUUCAUCACAACCUAGGUGGUGGUGGUGGGAUGGCUGGGGGUGGUGGCUGGAGAGAGUUGUGGUUGUAAACAUUACAGUUUAAAAGAUAAAUAACUUUUUUUUUUUCAUUUUGCUUAGGUAAAAUGGUGCAUUUUAAAGUGUCGGAAUUUAACUCGUGAUUUGACUCGGUGCAAAUAACAUUUUUCAUUAUAGAGACAUCUAUCGAGAUGAAAUUGAGUUCAAUUCUAUUUUAAGUCAUCAGCAAAAAAUAAUCCAAUGCCUCUACAACUUCAUCUAAGAGGAAGGGAGAAGAAACUAAAGAUAAAUAUUAAAAGAAUAAAAUUUAUUUUCAGAAUAUUUGAAUCGAUUAAUUAAAUGGACAGUUAUACCCUUUGUGCCGUUAAGUUAACAGCAAAAUUCCACAAUUGGGGUGCGCGGUGGUACGCGAGAAAACGUUUGCGGGCGCCGUGUCAAAUGUCAAGACACUUGGCGGGGGAACCAAAAAUUUCCCUUAUUUAUAUGGAAGUCAAAGAUUUAGAUGGACAAGCGGCAAACGCCCAAGCGCUUCUUUUUUUGACAAUUAAGAGGGUUAAAUCCGACAUUUUGUAAUCUUGGAUUUGUUUCUGUACCCACGCUCCCAUUCUAGAUUUUAAAUUAUUUACGCUCUUAUGAUUGAUUUGAAGACAAACAUUUUAUUAUGAUCAUAAGAUAUAAUCCCAACAUAUAUAUUUAAUUGGAUGUGUCCAAUGGAAAUAAAUCUUGGAUGAUCUUGUUGUGACAAGAUUUACAUAAUAGGAUAAAUUAAAUGUUAAUAGAUAUAUUAGAUUGCAUUAAAUGAUGACACAUAAUGAGGAUUUGCAAUUAAUUUGCUUUUUGGAUAAUUCUAUUGGAAAUGCCAAAUAAUUCUGGUUGUCGGCAUUGCAUAUAGUCAUAUGGCAAAUAGAUCAUUUACUAGAUUUCAUUUACUUUGACCCAUAUGACCAUUACCAGGGCAUAAUGGGAAUCUUGGAUAGAGUUUGCGAGAAGUCUAAGAAAGAAGCUUGAUUGGUAUAUAAAUUUGUAUCGCCCCAUUGUCAUAAAUUCUUAUACAAAUUUAUUUUGUACAAAUUGAUGUGACAUGAUAAAAUUAGUUGAAUUAAAUAUCUCUUGACCCAUAUGAUUUAUUUAUAUUAUUUUAUAUUUUCAUUGAAUCAAUGAAUUAAUGCUACAUCAGUUUAUACAAGAUAAAUUUAUAGAAAAGUUUGUGGCUGGAUUCAUGCGGCUGUUUUUAUAUAUUCUCCUUUUUAGUCGCUUUCAUCACCAAAAAGAAAAAAAAAAAGAAAACAAAAAAAAAAAAUCCGCUUCCGUUCCAUCACUCUUCCUUGUAGCUUGCGCUUGAGCACCAAAAUUAUAAUAUAGAUUAAAUCAAUUUCAUCUCCAGCUAAGGCAGCAAGCCAGCAAACUAGUAUAAAAUGUUUUAUAUCCGAUGACAAAACCAAUACAAAAUGUUUAUACUAUGACAAGCAAUAUAUGAAUCGAUGGAUUAAAAUAUUAUAUAUAUGUUAAGAAUAUAUAACAAUUGCAAUGAUAUUAUCAUAAAACUAUUGCCAAAUAAACUGAUUCAUACAAUUAAAUUAUUUAAGUGACCUUUUUUUUUAAUCUCAAAUCGAUUAUUAAAAGAUUUUUCCUAAAAAUACAAUAUACUGAAGUCUUUAUUAAUAUAUAUGAUAUCGUAUUAUAAAAUCUCAACGACAAUUGACAUGGGUAAUUAUCUUUAAAUAUUUAUGUGUUUCUUAGCACAACACUAUCAUAUUAAUAUUAUUAUAUAUAAUAAUUCUUAGAUGCGAGUACCUUAUAUUUUUUAAUAUGGACGCACUCUUAAACUAUGUUAAAAAAAUGAGGACAUUUGUAUUAGAGAAUAACUCUUAUGUAUGUGUGUGUUAACUUAUGUUUAUGUUUUUUUAAUGAACGGAUAGGGAUGACAAAAUCCUCCACAGGUUUGGGGCCCAUGGAACCUCACCCCAAAUGGAAAAAAUUUUAAAUAAUUUUUGGAGAAUGGGGUGGGAAGUGGGGAAAAAAAAAUCCCUAAAUUCUUAACGGGGUGGGGUUUGGUUUUAUACUCCCCAGCCCAAUCCACAUUAUAUAUAAAUAUGUUUUUAAUUCUUAUUUAAUAAUUUUUAUUUUAUCAACUAUAAUGUCAAUUAAUAAUUUUUUUUAUGUAAUAUAAACAUGAUAUGAAUAAAAGAAAAUCCUACAAUAUAAUUCUUUUUCAACUCUAAAACAUUGUUAUGUUUUCUUUUCUCUUUUAAGAUGCUGCCCUCUUCAAACAUUUUUCAGUUUUGAUAGAAUUUUAAGAUAUUGUUUCAAACUUUUAGAGAUUUUUUUAAAUAACUUAAAUACUUUAUAAUAUGAUAAUGAUUUUAUUUUAAGUCUCUAAUUUUUAAUUUACUGAAAUAAUGUAUUUAUACCUACUAUAAACUAGGUAAAUGGGGAAUGAGGUGGGGAUGAGAAAAUUAUUCCCCACAUGGAGAUUUCUCAUCCCCACCCAACUAAAUUUAUUAGGGAAUGAGGGUGGAAAAUAGAGGCAAAAAAUUUUAAUAGGGUGAGAAAUAGGUAGGCCUCCCCACUCCCACCCCACCCCACCCCAUUACCAUCCCUAUGAACGGAUGAGAGUAAAAGUUGCAAAAUUCAAAAUGCAAAACAAGGGAGCGUCUUAUCAUAGCAAGUAGUAACCAGAUGGAGUGUCAAAAGAGAGAAAAGUCCAAGAAAAAAGCUUUGAUUGAUUUGCAUCGCCCACAUUAUCAUCAUCUCAUUCAAUUGAUGACUCAUGAAAGUGCCUUUUUAAAAAUCACUUACUUCCACACACUUUUCAUGGAGCGUGUGUCCAACAAAACAUACUUUAUCGAGAGAAUUAAAAAAUAAAAAAGAAUAAUUCUAUUUCCUUUUAAUUCAGUAGUUCAAUAAGUUCACAUAUUAUAUCUUUGUUUCGGUUUUAAAGUCAAAGUUCUGUUUUUAAUGGUAAGGAACGACCUCCUAUAUAAAUUUAAAUAUCAUCCAUUGAUGAUUUUAUCCAAAUUCUGUUGGAAUUAAGAGUGAUAAAACUUAAUUCUUUUCCCCAAGAAAUCACCACACACUGAUCUUAUUACGGCAAGAAUGGAGAAAACCAAGAUAGGAAUUAGAAAAUAGAACAAGAGUAUAUAACCAGAGACAGAGAUUAAAAAGAAUGGAAACGAAAUGAACACAAAAGGAAUUUAUAGAGGUUCAGCUUGACAGCCUACAUCCUCUUGAGAAACAGAAGCCAUAUAUGUUCUUUUAUGCUUAACAGAUUACAAGUCUUAGCGAAAUUGAUACAAGGAACGUUCUUUUGCUAAGUAUGGCCUUGAAGGCUUUAUAUACAACUCUUAGGAGAUCCAGAUAGGUGUGCUGCACGCCAGCUCUUAUUCUGGGUUUGUUGAAACAAACCCAGAGAGUUCCCGCCAAGUCUAACCGUUGGUAACAACUCUUUAGUUUGAAACGACACUAGCAACUGCCGUUUAACUAAAGCUUGAUUUCGUUGAUGCUCGUGCAAGUCACGUGCAUUACUUAAACUCUUCGUAUGAUAGAGUCUUGUUGUCGUAUGGGCAGCGUUAUCUGUUUGAUCGCUUUUUCGUUUCUUAUUCAAUUCCAAAAACGACAAAGUCGUCUCCUUCAGAAAUUCAUAAUUCAGGUUCACAAUUAACAAUCUUCACCUUGAACCUGAAUCAUAGCACUCCUACAUCUUCUUCUUCUCGAGCUUCUGUAUCUUCAUUUUCUACAGAUGCCAGCUAAGUCUAAGCAGUGCUCAAACUUAGCCAUAGGAAUUGGUUUUGUCAACAUAUCAACAACAUUGUUACUGGUAUGAAUCUUCACAAGCUUCACAGUGCCUUUAGAGACUUCCAGCCUUAUGAAAUGGAGCUUAAUGUCGAUGUGCUUGGUUUUUUCAUGGUGGACUUGGUUUUUGCUCAGACUGAUAGCACUUUAACUGUCACAUAGAAUUGUUAUGGAUGAUUGCUCAUACCCCAAUUCAUUUAUCAUGCCCCUUAACCAUAUUGCUUCUUUGAAAGCCUCUGCAGCAGCUGUAUACUCUGCCUCUGUUGUAGAUAGGGCCACUACACUUUGGAGUGAGGCUUUCCAACUGAUUGUGCAGCUAUUAAGUGUGAAUAAAAAACCAGUGAGUGAUCUUCUAUUAUCCAGAUCUCCUGCAUAGUCAGAGUCAACAAAACCCUUAACCAGAUUGUAGUUUGCUCUCUCCCCUCCAUACAACAAACCAUAGCUUGUAGUUCCUCUUAGAUAACUCAGUAUCCAUUUCAUAGCCCCCCAAUAUUCCUUCCCUGGAUUAGACAUAAACCUACUGACCAGGCUUACAGCAUAUGACAAAUCAGGUCUUGUUAAGACCAUUGCAUUCAUUAGGCAGCCCACUGAGAUAGCAUAUGGAGUUUUCAACAUUUCAGUUUGUUCUGAUUCAGUGCUUGGGCACUGCUGACUUGAUAACCUGAAAUGAGCUGACAUUGGAGUAGACACUGGUUUACAAUUCAGCAUUCCAAACUUCUCCAAAACCUUGUUGACAUAUUUUUCUUGAGACAGAAACAAUGUCCUGGCUGUUCUGUUCCUUAUUAUUUCAACACCUAAGAUCUUUUUGGCUGGACCAAGGUCUUUCAUGUCAAACUUAGCUCUAAGUUUUUGCUUCAGUAGAUCAAACAGCUUCAUGUUUUUAUUGGCCAGAAGCAUGUCAUCAACAUAUAAUACAAGAUAGAUCACUUCCUCCCCAUAGGUCUUUCUGAAAUAUACACAACAAUCAUAACUAGAUUUUUGAAAGUUCAGUUCCUGCAUGUAGCUGUCAAAUUUCAGGUACCACUGCCUGGGGGACUGCUUGAGCCCAUAAAGAGAUUUCUUCAGCAAGCAAACCCAAUCAAGGUGUUUAGUAUUCACAAAGCCCUCAUGUUGUGACAUUACAAUCUCCUCUUGUAGAUCACCAUGAAGGAAUGCUGUUUUAACAUCUAAUUGUUCAAGAUGCAUAUCAUAGACAACUACCAAUGACAGAAUAAUCCUUAUUGAUGUGUGUCUGACUACUGGUGAAAAGACUUCAGUGUAAUCAAUCCCCUCCCUUUGGGCAAAGCCCUUGGCUACCAACCUUGCUUUGAAUCUUUUGGGUUCAAUUUAGGGAUCUCAUCCUUUAUUUUGUAGACCCAUUUGCACCCCACAACUUUUCCUCUUUCUAGUUUCUGAAUUAAUUUUCAGGUGCCAUUCUUAUUCAGAGAGUCCAUCUUAUUUAGAGAGUCCAUCUUAUCUUCCAUGGCCUUGAUCCAUUGAGCUGAUUCUUUACUUGCUACAGCUUCUUCAUAAGUUUUUGGCUCCUCUUGGUCAACCUCAUGUGCUGUUGUCAAGGCAUAUGCUAUUAAGUCAGCAUAUCCCAGUCUCUCUGGUGCCCUAACUUGUCUCUUCUGUCUAUCCCUUGUAAGCUGAUAAUCUUGUAUUGAGGUGUGCUCUGGUGAUUGAGCAUUGGUCCCAUCUGAGCCUUGAGUUUCUCCAGUGUGACUUGUGUUUUAACCAUCCUCAGUUUUUGUUAGCUCCACCUCAAAGUGAGGUGUCUCUGCCCCUGAGAUUUUCUGAAUUGUGCUUUGUGCAAAGGUCUGACUUUUCAGCAUCUCAGACUCAUUGAAAAUUACAUCCCUGCUUAUUAUGCACUUAGGAGACUUAAGAUCUACACACCAUAGUUUGUAACCCUUAGUUCCACUAGGAUACCCUAAGAAAGCACAUUUCAAUGCCUUUGGCUCAAGUUUGCCCUGCUUAAUAUGAGCAUAAGCAGUGCAGCCAAAAAUUCUCAACUUAGUGUAGUCAGCUAACUUCCCUGACCAAACCUCAUAAGGUGUUUUAAGUUCAAUUGCAGUUGAGGGGCAUCUAUUUAUCAGGUAACAGGUUGUACUCAAAGCCUCAGCUCACAAUGUUUUUGGCAACUUUGAAUGAAACAACAUGCAUCUAACUCUUUCCAUUAAUGUUCUAUUAAUUCUUUCUGCCAAGCCAUUUUGUUGUGGUGUGUGCCUUACUGUUUUGUGCCUUAGGAUCCCAUUCUUUUCACACAAAUCAUCAAACUGUUUAUUACAAAACUCAAGUCCAUUAUCAGUUCUGAUCAUUCUAACCUUCCUAUUAGUUUGAGUUUCAAUCAAGGUUUUCCAGGCUUUGAAUCUAUCAAAAACCCGAUCUUUGCUCCUUAAUGGAUACACCUAUACCAUCCUAGAGAAGUCAUCUAUCAUAGAUAAAAAAUAACAAGCUCCACUUAGAGAUUCAAUAUGUGCUGGUCCCCACAGAUCUGAGUGAAUAUAAUCCAAAGUACCCUUAGUAUUGUGCACUGCAGUUUUAAACCUGGUUUUUGAGGACUUUCUUAGGACACACUCCUCACAGAACCUAACAGUACUUAUCUUAUCACUCCCUAGAGCUACUUGUUUUUCAAGUUCUUUCAGCCCACUUUCAUUUACAUUACCCAACCUGAAAUGCCACAAUAAUGUCUUAUUUUGUUCCUAGUUUUCCACUACCCCAGCAUCCCCAGUUAUUGUUGUACCUUGCAGUAUGUAUAAACCAUGUUGCAUUACACCCUUCAUCAUUAUUAAAGACCCUUUAAUAACCUUUAGGGAGCUUGAUUCAAGUCUGAUACAACACCCUGCCUUAUCUAACAUGCUUAGAGAAAUUAGGUUUUUUUUAAGCUUUAGUAUAUGCCUUACAUUAUCUAGUUCUCUAAUUAUACCAUCAGACAUUUUCAACCUAGUAGAGCCAAUACCAAUGACUUUACAGGAAGCACUGUUUCCCCUCAAGACUUUACCUCCUUCAAAGGGCUGAUAGCUACUGAAUAAGUGUUUAUGAGGACACAUGUGAUAGGUGCAGCCAGAGUCAAGAACCCAUUUACCUUCAGUUUGCAUGUUUGAGGCUACCAGAAUACCAGCAGAGUCAUAUCCCUCAUCUGAAUCUUCAGAAGCAACAGUAGCAUUUCCAUUCAUGUUGUUAGCAUCCUUAGGCUUAAUCUUUCUCUCAGGGCAGUCCCUUUUGAAGUGACCCUCCUUGUGGUAGUGAAAGCACUUUAAGGCCCUGUGUCUUAGACUUUGAUCUUCCUUUCUUUUUCCCUUUCUAGCCAUCUUGCUUCUCUGAUCUCCCUUUUACUGUCAACCAUUCACCAUCUCUUGUUUCUGAUUUCUUGGAGCUUUCUUUGGAACUCAAAACUUCUUUAACAUCUUGUAUAGCCAGAGAUUGUCUUCCAUACAAGAGAGUGUCAACAAAAUGUUCAUAAGAAUGUGGUAAUGAAGAUAACAGAAUAAUGGCUUUAUCCUCAUCUUCAAUCUUCACAUUAAUGUCUUCAAGAUCUAAAAUGAUCUUAUUGAAAGCAUCAAUGUGAGUAGUCAAGGAGCUGGCUUCUUCCAUUUGGAGCGUGUAGAGCAUUUUCUUUGUACUCAAUCUUUUUGUCAAAGAUUUUUUUGUGUACAAAUCCUCUAAUUUCUUCCAAAGGCCUGCAGCUGUUGUUUGGUCUCCCAUUUCUCUCAGUACUCCAUCUCCCAGGCUUAGGAUUAUAGUGUUGUGAGCUUUGUCCAUGGCUUUUUGUAUGUCUUCAUCUUUGACCUUGCUGAUCUUUUUCGAGGUUCUUGGAUCCUCCAACACUUCUUCAAUUCCCUGAUGAACCAGCAACGCUCUCAUCUUCAGCCUCCAAAGAUGGAAGUCAUUUUCCCCCGUGAAUUUCUCCACGUCAAGCUUCUGUAUUGCCAUUCUUGCUCACAAGAUUCAGAUAUGUGAGCUCUGAUACCAAUUUGUUGGAAUUAAGAGUGAUAAAACUUAAUUCUUUUCCCCAAGAAAUCACCACACACUGAUCUUAUUACGGCAAGAAUGGAGAAAACCAAGAUAGGAAUCAGAAAAUAGAACAAGAGUAUAUAACCAGAGACAGAGAUUAAGAAGAAUGGAAACGAAAUGAACACAAAAGGAAUUUAUAGAGGUUCAGCUUGACAGCCUACAUCCUCUUGAGAAACAGAAGCCAUAGCUUUUCUUUUAUGCUUAACAGAUUACAAGUCUUAGCGAAAUUGAUACAAGGAACGUUCUUUUGCUAAGAAUGGCCUUGAAGGCUUUAUAUACAACUCUUAGGAGAUCCAGAUAGGUGUGCUGCACGCCAGCUCUUAUUCUGGGUUUGUUGAAACAAACCCAAAGAGUUCCCGCCAAGUCUAACCGUUGGUAACAACUCUUUAGUUUGAAACGGCAUUAGCAGCUGCCGUUUAACUAAAGCUUGAUUUCGUUGAUGCUCGUGCAAGUCACGUGCAUUACUUAAACUCUUUGUAUGAUAGAGUAUUAUUGUCGUAUGGGCAGCGUUAUCUGUUUGAUCGCUUUGUCGUUUCUUAUUUAAUUCCAGAAACGACAAAGUCGUAUCCUUCAGAAAUUCCUAAUUCGGGUUCACAAUUAACAAAUUCAAUAGACAAAAUUUAAAAUCAAAAUAUAAGGUUUAAUGUGAUUAACUUAUCGACUAGUUUGGUCUUCUUUUUUUUUUUCAGAAUAUUACAUUUGCAGAUAUUAGUAGAGUAGCAAUUAUGAAUUUAUCUACAUCUCCAUCCGAAUAUGUAGCUCAUAACGGGUUGAAUAGUUUUUUUUUUUUUUUUUAUAUUCCUUACUAAUGCAUAGACGAACCUUUUCCAAAGUGUGAAUAUGAAAUAAGAAAAAAAAUGAACACGAUUCAUUAAAGAGAAAAUUGUUUGGGAAUUUGGUUAUCUGAAGUAUCUAAUGAAAAAGACCUAAAAGGUCUACCUUUGCUCAUUGGUGUUGCCAUUUAUGUUCGUGCGCUCAAAGUUAUGCACAAGAUUAGAUCCUUCAGUUUAGUAGUUGAAUCUCGUCGGUUCAUUUAUUGGGAUUAACCUGAUCCAUUGAUUCUAUUUAUGUGAUGGUCAUACAUGGAGUUAGCAUUUGUUACAUCACUUACAUGAUUAUUUUAAUAAACCAUGUGGUGCUAGGUACUUCACUCGUUGUUCCUCGAAUCCUAAGCCACUUUCUUUGAUUUUUCUUUAAGCAUUCACGUGAUCAAUAAACAUUUAAGCAGCCUUAGUUUUUCUCUCUUGAAAACGACAUUAUUAUUAUUAUUAUUAUUAUUAUUAUUUAUUUUGAGAAUUUGAAACCGACAUUAUUGAGACCAAAGAGUGAGGGCGGAAAAGUGGGAAAAGCUCUUAGUUUCUAAUUAUCCUGUAGUUAAAUCAUCCAGAACCAUAAGAAUUCAUAGUCAGAAUGGAAUUUCAAUCAGUGAUUUUUAAGAUUUCGAGUAACAACAAAAAAUAAUGCCAACUUUGUUCAUAAUAUUGUUCCUUAUAAGAGAUUCAAUCUCAAGGGAAAUAUAUUUAUCAAUUGGAAUUUGGUCAUUCAAAAAAAAAAAAAAGAACUCUUAAGUUGAUAUCUCAUAAAACACAACUAGAAUAUAAAAUUACUGAAAUACUAACUAAAAGAACAAUUUUCACUCUUAUGUAUAUACAAUCUAAACAGGUUUUUAUGGGUCUAUAUUUUGAUCAAUUGAUCUAAUUUACUAUUAAAAUUAAUGACAAUAUAAGGCCAAUAAUUUUAAAAAAAGUUUAAUACAUAAAAUCUUUUUUAUUUUUUCAAAAUAAUAUAAUAUUAAUUUAAUCUGUAAUAAAUAAUUUAAAUAUAUAAUAAAAUAUGUUACUUUAUCAAUAAUAUUAAACAAUUUUUAGAAACAAUAUAAAAUCUAUUUAAUCAAUAAUAAAUAAUUUUAAUAUAUAAUUAAAUUUUAAUUUAUCAAUAAUAAUAUGACCAAAUGACAAUGUUAAAAAAUUUCAUAAUAAUCAACUAUGGUUUAGUAUUCAAAUAUAAAUAACAGAAAUAUACUCUUAAGUGUAAAUGGUAGAAAUAUUUUGGACUUAUAUAUUAAAAUUUUAAAACUUCUAAUUUUUUCACUUUUCAGCAAAUAAGAGGGAUUGCAAAGUAAUUUAUCAAAAGCAAGGGGUUCCGUGCACCGGGACACCGUAGCUUCAUCCUGUUUUUAUAGACAAAGUAAACAAUUUUUUUUAUUUUUAAUAUCCAACAUUCAAAUUCCUUAUAUAUAGACAAAAUGGGAAGUACCGUGCGUCAAGUAUACAGUAGCUAGACUCUAUAUCUGUCCCAAAUUUAAAUGAAUGAAAAAUAUAUAUUAUUAAAUUUUUAUGUUUACUACAAAAUCUUAAAGAUGAGAACUAUCUUACAACUGCUGUAAAGUGCAAUCCUCUCACGUGAACAAUAUCAAUCAUGAGCUUAAGUGAUUCACGAUCAAAUUUGUGAGAGAACUACAACUUACAUCAAUUGUAAGUUAGCAAGCUCCAAUCUUUAAAUACAACUCUCAAAAUUUGCCACGCUGCAGUUAAAUGUAACAUUAGCAUUUAGCAAGACCCAUAUAUGUAGUUAGCAAGACUUUCUGUGUGUCGUCCUUGAAAUGUGGGCCGCCCACUUUGCUCACGGCGGGUGUAACGAACGUGGAAGAAGAAGCACGAGAUAUUAUUGGAUGGGCGAAUCUUAACCUUCCCUCCUUAUCAUUAUCCCAUUUAUAUUAUGUCACCCUUUUGGGCUUUUGUUUUUUUUUUACCCAACUUUUCCAAAAUAAGGCAGGCCCGUUUGAACUUUUUAAUAACUUUUUGCUUCGCUUCAGUUUUGGUCCACCCAAUCUUCUUUACUAGUUUGAAAUAUCCACUCUCAUAUAUAUAUUUUUUUAAAUUUGACAUAAUAUUAAAAUAUAUAGUUUGAGUAAUGAAUAGCAUGUAUAAAAUGUAUUUCAUUGCUACUCUAGUUUGUAUACAUGGUAAUUUUUUUUAAAGUAUUAUCAAUGAUCAAAAUUUUAGUGAGAACAAACAUUAUCUUUGAAAGAAAAACCUGUAGGGACUGUAAAACAAACAUCAAAUACGCCGUAGUUGUAGAAAUUUUGGGGCACUUGCAAACUGGGUUACGAAGCAUGUGUCUUUAUCAGAUUCUAAAUGGACCCAUUGUAGAAAGAUGUGGCCUUGUUUUGGAAACGGGUAUUAGAAGAGGGGCCUUUGGGCCUUGGGCUCAACUGAAUACUAAUUUUAAUUUCAAUACUUUUUUUUUUUGGCCUUUUUGAUUUUGUAGGAUCACACCUCAUCAGUUUCCUCAAGACAUUUGUUUGCUUCACUUCAUCACCAAGUAAACGUAAGCACUAAGCUGUAUAGCCCGUAUUGACUAGAAGAUUGGAAUACUAACAAGUUGUUUAAUUAAUUAAUUAAUUUUAUUGAAGAGUAAGGAGAGUUCAUUUUUGGUUAUGUUAUACAUAAUCCAACAACCCAAUUUGUUAGUUAAUAAUUUAUGUAAUUUUUUUACCGUAUUUGUUUAAUAGAAAUACAUUGAAAACAAUAUGAAAAAAUAUUAUUUCAAUUUGUGCAUCAUUUGCUUUCUUCUUUCUUUUUUUCCAUUUUUUAUUCACAUAAUUUUAAAAAUUUUGUAAGUUCAUUCAUUGUGACAAGAUCAUGAGAUAAGAGUCUUAAGUUCAUAAACAUUUGGCAACGUAAGGGUGACAAAUCUCCCCAUUGGGCCUACUGAGCCCCACCAAAAAGACCCUACAAACAGCUACUGCAAAGGAUUGUACGAGAAGCUGCCCUCCAACAAGCCCAUGUGUACUUGUCCGAUAGCAACAGACGGUCACAUAGGGAGUGCCUCGACCCAUAAAGAACCCAUUAUAUUUGAAUUCACAAUAAUAUUAGGUCCUUACUUAAAACUCUUACCUGAUUUAGAGAACAGUAAAUCACACCUCGACACAUUCAAAAAGAUCAAAAACGCCCUAUAUGAUUCUUCCACAACCGUUGGAUUUUCAUCUAAUGGUUGUGGAAAUAACAUGAUACAUAAUUUUAUAUUUUCACAAUCGUUGGAUUUUCCUCCAACGGUUGUGAAAGAAUCAUGCAUCUCACAUGAUAGUGUAAGAUAACAAUCUUCAUGCCUUUAAUAAUCGAUUUCCUCCUUUUCAAACUUUGCACGGGUCUUUAAAAUAUUUUGGUCCAGAUAAUGGCCUAACUAGAAUUUUACCAAAACAUUAGCUGAUAAGUGUUUUAGACAGAUUUUGCUAGUAGAAAAAGAUAAACUUAUUUAAAAUAAUGAAUUUGUAUUUUUAGGAGAAAUGGGGUACCUCACUAGUUUGUCGUGUGUGAUAUUCUUAAAUUCAGAGGAGGUGAGAUGGGAUGAGGGAAGUGGUAACAAUGGUGAAAGGUUUAAACCAAGAAAAAUGGCCUUCGAAACGAGCUUUACGCCUGUAAAACAGUGAAAUAGAGGUUAGAGGUGAAGCUGGGGUACCCCGGCAUUCCCACUUCGACGCUCAAGUUAGCAACUCAAGCUUUUUCAUGGUAAAUAGAGCUUGCCAGCCCCUUGUAAAUCAAGGUUUAAGGUUGAAGAAAACUUAUUUUUUGAAGUGUGAGUGUUCAUGAGUGAAUGAAUAAUAUCAUGGAGAAUAAAACAUAAACACCUUUAUAUAUGGAGUACCUCGCCUGCCACGUGGCGUAUCUUUUAUGGCUAUUGGCUAUCCCUUUUCAGGCCUUUCACAUUUUUUUUACCUUUUUAUAAUUUUUGGGCCGUUAUAUGCAUGCUUGGGAAUUAAAAAGACGUUUGUGGCGUAUCUUAUCCUUUGGGAACAUGGCGCGCACUGGAGAGUGGUCCAAGGUACCUUUGUCGGGUAAGGCGGCUGUGGACCACUGUACUUGGGACAAUGUCCUUCACUUUUGGCAGAGGUGGUAGGCGUCUGUCGCCAUUUUUCAGUACGAUGUUUUUUAUAUUUAAUUUUGAUAAAAUCAAAUAUUAUCCUUCAAGAGAUGGAGACAUUUCUCAUGGCGGACUUUUCAGAGGAUUCCCCUGAAUCUGAUCUGUCGGGUUCCUCAAGCUAUACGGGGUACCUCGAGUUACUCUGGAGUUAUGCGGGAUACCUCAAAUUAUGACAGGUACCUUGAGUUAUUCUGAGUACCUCGAAUUAUGCUGAAGUUAUGCGGGGUACCUCAAAUUAUGCAGGGUACCUCGAAUUAUACUGGAGUUAUGUGGGUUACCUCGAAUUACUCUCGAAUUAUGUGGGGUACCUCGAAUUAUACUAGAGUUAUUCCGCUCAUCGACACGUGGCGUUCUGCUACAUUUUUCUUUUUCUCCCCAAACAACAUCACCCCUAGUUUCUUUUUGACGAGAAGUAUUGUAGUCAAAAGAAACUCACAUAAAAAGUAGGAGCGACACGUGGCGAUAUAAAGUUUAGCUCGAUGGGCGGCUGAAUAGAGGACGCCUUGCUUAACUUCUUUUCUAACUAAACCUUAUAUAUUUCCAAGAAAUCUUCUCUUUAUCUCUGUUUUUUUUUUUAACCAAACUAAUGGCAGCUCCUUGGGUGGCCCAAGUACCACUCCUUCUAUAAGGUGUACUUGGCCUCCUCACAUCUUGAGAUGUGAACUUGGUCAUUUAAAAGCUCAGACAUUACAUCCUCUUUUAUUCAAUUAAAGUACUGGGGCGGAUGGACCAAGCUAAAAGAUGGUCGCUCUAGGAGUACCCUCAGAACCCAAAAAAAAAAAAAAGAUGGGCUCCAUUUCCUUAGAAAUGGCUACCAAUUUGGAUAUAUUAGAAAAGACGGAGUUGAUUGAUCAAAAUUUUCCAUCCAUUUCUGGGGAGGAACACCAAAUAUGGGUAGAAGGUAUUGUUAGGGUACUCCACCAUUACCCAUAAUUUGUUUUUUUAGCGAUUGUCAUGUAUAGAUCGUUGUGGUGAGGACUUCGAUGCCUUCUUUGGCCAUUUGAGAAGCGGUUCAUCGGUUACCCCAUGAUCUACCUUAUUUAAGGGUACAUUUCCUCUACAUGCUCCGGGGACAAAAAAAAAAUCACAUGGCUCAUUUCCUGGCAGUUUAAGGGUACCCCAAGUACACAAAAAAGAAAGAUGGGCUUCAACCCCAUGAAAUGAAGCUCUUUGGAGUGAACAAGACUUUGAGGGGAUACUUUGAUGAAGUUUCAGAAGAGAACGCCUAUAAGAUGAAAGACCCUGAGGAGUUUUAAGCUAAACUUCAGGACUUGGUACCUAGACAGAAGAACAUAGUUGAUAAUGCUUUUGAGUGCAUCAUGACCGAUGAAUGAAGUGCUGAUCUGAGGCUGGUGGUGUAAAGAGUGGAGAAGUGGGUAGAUAAGUCGGCUAUCUUAAAGGCAAUUGAGAAUAGCAGGACUCCUCACACAUCUGGUUUGAAAGCCCAUGGAGAUCAGCUAGGAUACCUAAGAUAAAGUCUCCAUAAGGUACUCCUGAUACCAAUGCUUAUGUUUAUGUUAUUUCUAGCACAUUUGUUAAUCCCCCUAUCUAAGGGAUGAAGCUGAAGAUAACCAUCAUACUGUGUAACUUUAUUCGACAUUAUUGACGAGGCGCAUGGGGUACCUCGGGUACCCUUAAGUUUGGAUAUUCACUGAGCUAUCUGUUAUUUCAUUUUUGUUAAAAAUUCAUCGUUAUCAAUUUCCCGCUGCAAGGCCUCCCAAUCUAACCAUUGUAUGCCCACCAGCUGGUGUAACUCUGUAGGAAGUAGUACUCUCGAUAGUGCAUCAGCUACCUUAUUGCUUGCACCUGGUUUAUAUUGAAUUUCGAAGUCAUACUCAAGUAACUUGGCCAUCCAUUUUUUAUAAUUAGGUGCCACAAUUCACUGCUCUAAUAAGUGUUUUAGGCUUUAUUGAUCAGUUCGAAUUAGGAAUUUCCUCCCAAGCAGGUAUGGCCGCCAUUUUUGAAUGGCAAAGAAAAUAGCCAUCAAUUCUUUUUCACAAAUCGAACGCAGCUUCGCUCGUUGCCCUAGCUCUUUGGCUGUAAUAAGUCAUUGGUCGUUCUUCUUGCAUCAAGACGGCACCUAAACCAUACCCCGAUGCAUCGGUUUCAAUGACGAAUGGUUUGGUGAAGUCUGGAAGAGCUAAAACAAAAACCGUGGUUAUAGCCUUUUUAAGAGCCUCAAAUACCUCUAUAACCUCCUUAUUCCACCUGAAACGAUCUUUCUUCAAUUGCUCUGUAAGAGGCCAUGCAAUCAAUCCAUACCCCUUGACAAACUUACGAUAAUACCCUAUAAGUCCUAGAAAGCCUCGCAAUUCUCGAAUUAACUGUGGUACUGGCCAUUCAAGCAUGGCUUGUAUUUUAGAGUUGUCCACCUCCACGUCAUCUCCGAAUAUGAUAUGCCCCAAAUAUUCCAAACGGGUACAAGCGAAUGAGCACUUCUUGCUGUUUGCAUAUAGCCGAUACUUUAUGAGAAUGUGUAAUACCACUGCCAGAUGCUGUGCAUGUUCUGUCAUACUGUGACUGUACACUAAGAUGUCAUCAAAAAAUACUAACACAAAAUUACGAAGGUGUGGUCGAAAAACCUGAUUCAUUAGUGCUUGAAAUGUUACCGGUGCAUUAGUUAGCCCAAAUGACAUGACUAAGAAUUUGUAAUGACCCUCAUGGGUUCGGAAAGCGGUCUUAGGAACAUCUUCAGGCCGUACUCAAAUCUGAUGGUAUCUAGACUUCAAGUCAAGCUUAGAGAACACAAUUGGUCCAUGUAACUCAUCUAGCAACUCAUUGAUCACUGGGAUGAGAAAUCUAUCUGCCAUCGUCUCUCUGUUCAAGGCACAAUAGUCAACAUAAAAUCUCCAACUCCCAUAUUUUUUCUUUACUAGUAAUACUGGACUUGAAAAAUGGCUCACACUAGGCUGUAUGAUCUUGGUCGCCAACAUCUCCUUUACUAACAGCUCAAUCUCAUCUUUUUGUAUUUGAGGAUAUCAAUAAGGACUGACGCUGAUAGGUGAAAUUUCGUCCUUUAAGAUUAUGGCAUGCUCAUUUCCACGGAAAGGUGGUAAGUCCAUAGGUACCUCAAACACUUCCUUAGAAUUGUUCAACAUUGUCUCAAUCUCGUGGGGAAAAACAAACGUUUCUUCUAUGGCAACUCUUACUGCACCAAGCGCCACUACAUACCCAUAUCCUUCGUGUCUAAUGGUACGACACAUGGCUUUAAGUGAUACCAAUGUUUUGUGUAAUAAGAGAUCCCCUUGUAAAUUUACCGAUGUAUUUCCCACAUUAAAUUUCAUAGAGUGAGUCUUCCAAUUAAUGUGAGUCACUCCUAACGUCUCCAACCAUUGAAUUCCAAGAAUAAUCUCAGUACUACCCAAAUCUAGAGGUAAAAAAUUUGCUACUAUCUCUACUCUUUGUAAAAUUAACCCUACGCCUCGGCAAAUUCCUUGAGCUUUGGUGGCUGAACCAGUUCCCAAAAUUACCCCUUAAGGCUCCGUAUUAGUGAUGGGAAGCUUCAAGACUGACACAAGCUCGUUCGAGAUAAAAUUAUGUGAUGCGCCGCUAUCGAUAAGUACGACCACCUUUUGAUUAUUAAUCUCACCCGCCAAUUUUAGUGUUUUAGGUGAAGUGAGCCCCACCACCGAAUUUAAUGACACCUCUACCACUUGAUUUUUAGCCCCCUAUGUCGGCUUGGACUCCUGUUCACUUUCUCGACCUACAUCUUCCAUCGCAUGUGCCUCUGCUUCACAUUCUUAAAGUAAUACCACUUGCAGUUCUCGUUUCCUGCAACGAUGUCCUGGUGAAAAUUUUUCGUCACGUUCUCGCUUGGAUUGCAGUUCUGCCUCUGUUAAUUUUCGAAAUCCUCCGCCUUCGUGAGCUUUUGUUGGAAUUGUAGUCUCUAAUGUUGUAGUGCCUCGCCCCAUCUAAGUUCUAAUGGGUAAGUAAUUAGAAUGCCCAAGCCCACGUGUGUAACUUUUAGACUCUAAAUUUUUAGCUUCAAUUUUCAUUGCUAAUUCCAUAGCCUUUUCAAGCCCAUUUGAACCCAAUACCUUUAAUUCAGCCCGUAUGUCACUCCUCGACUAAUUUAUGAAGGUAGACUCCAAAACUUAUUCAGAGAUAUCUUUUAACGUGGAAGCCAUUUGCUCAAACCGUCUUCGAUACUCCCUCACGGAUCCACUUUGUCUAAGAGCCAAAAAUUCCUCAUAAAUGGAGCCAUUGGGUAGAGAUCGGAACCUCAAAAGGAGUUGAGAUUUGAGUUCCUACCAACUCAGGAAUGGUCUCCUCUUGUUCUCCCAUCCAAACCAAAUCAGUACUUCCCCUUCAAAAUUGAUAAUGGUUGUCUCCAAUUUCUCUGUGUUAGUCAUCCGGUGCAAGGUAAAAUAUCUCUCUGCCUUUAAUAUCCAAUCGUCGGGGUUCUCUUCAUCAAAAGAGGAAAGUUCAAUUCGUCUAGGCCGAAGAUCCCACCGAGCGUUGAGCGUCAUCUCUCUGCCAAGGCUUCCGUCUAUUGCUUCAUCAGUCUGCUUCGGAGUCUUGCCUGUCAUCGACGCUUGAAAUCGGCCAUUCUCUCGCUUUGCAUCCUCUUGUGUCUGAACGACAUGAUCGAGCUUCUCCAUCAAGGCAGCAAUUCCUUGCUCCAUGUUAGGGAUUUUCUGCAAUUCCUGUUUGAUUGCACCUAACUCCCCUUGUACCGACGUCACCACCUCUUCCACGAACUCCACCCGUGAUUCCAUCCUCGUGACCAUAUUCCUAGAGCCUGCUCUGAUACCAAAUGAUAGACCUUCGAUUUUGUUACAGAGGAAGUAGAUAGUUUGACAUGAAAGGGAUAUGUGUUUUAUUAAAAUUAAAAGGAACAAGUUAACAGCCAAGUAGUUCGAGAGACCUGGUUCUCUCCCAGAGCCAAGGCUCAAUACAAAAUAAUUCUCAAUACCCAUACACUUUCCCUUGUGCCCCUUUUAUUGCCUACAUAUUAUCAUAAAUAAAUCCUACCCAUAAUUACCCAUAUUCCAUGACUAUUAUGAAAGAUAUUGGUUACUAUAUCCAUACCCAAACAAUGUUCCCAAAUUGCCCGUAAAUCAAGGUAAUUAGCAACUAGGUACUUCCUUUCUUGCGCCGCGCAUAUGUGUACCUAAUUAGUGGCCUAUCAAUGGCAUCAAGGUGAAGUUCAACAAUCUUUUUUGUAAAACCCAAUUUUUAUCAAUAAAAUGUGCAAUCAAACUCAUGUAUCCAUCAGUAGUGCAAGCAGUUCACAAAUCAGAGGUGAAACAAAUUUUACCAGGAACCUCCUCUAACAUAGCUUUAAUCCUAAGUCUUUUUGCAUUAUAAGCUUUUAGGAUAUCUGUUUUUGCUGUAUUUCUAGAAAUAUUUUGUACUUCAGAAUUCAGAAACUCAAAACAAGUUCUAAUUGCAUCAAACUCAACAAACUGAAAAGGUAACCCAUGCUUCACAAUUGCUGCAGACAACAACUCACGAAAGACAACCUGAUCAAAUUUUAAAGAACAUGACCCUAUAGAACCUGAAUGGUCUAAAAUCAUUUGACGGGGGUCACGUGGCUUUUUUAACUUAGGACAUUUUUUAAUAUUCUUAAGCAUGUUACCAGUCCCAUAAUUACUUUUGCUAAUGUAAACUUUUCCACAAACACACAUAAACCUUUCCUUUCCAUCUUGAUAUGCAUCUAAUGGCAAUUUAGUGAACAUACCCCAUGCUUUAGAUGUUCUUCUCCUCUUGCGUUGUUUCUUUGGAACAUCACUGUCACCAUCUUGCUCUAAUUCCUCCAAAUUCACUCAAUGUCCAUGUAAGAAGGCUUUAAUGUUAGUUGAAUUAUCAUUAUUUGGAUCCGGUUCCAUGUUACUAAUGUACCAAAAAAAAAAUCAUAUCAAUAAUGAUUGUAACAUUAAGUUAUAACAGAGGAAUGCAAUCAAGUGUUAAAAAAAUUUAAACAAAUUUAAAAAGAAUUACUUUCAAACCAAACUGCAAAAGCUAUAACGUAUAAGCACACAGGUGAAGGAAGCAAUAGAAAACAAAACCCAUUAAAGAAUGCAAACAAUAUUUAAAUAAUUGAGAAAUUGAUUUUUAAACUAACCUAGUCAUGAAUGUUUGAUCUCAAGAGCAGCCGAUCAAAGUCUUGCAACUUGCUAGAAUUGAAAAACUUGAGAUUUAAUCAAGUGUUUGCUGAUGAAAAAAAAAGUGUGGGUGGUAGGUGGAUAAGACAAAAGGUACAUCAGUAUAUGGAUUGUGGCACAAGAAAAUUUUUUAUCUUAAUUUUUAAUUGGCAACAAUCUAGAUUUUUUAGGUGGAAAGUAUUUUUUUAAUUAGUGGCUAGAAACUUUUAUCAAUUGGUGCGCAAUAUAUUAAAGGCUUAAAGCUUAUUUCUUUAUGUUAUUUUAUUUAUCUUAAUUAUAAAUAUAUUCUUAUAUUUUUUUAAAUGUCAAAAAUGUCAUAUUUUAGUGAGUCGUGUUAGAGGGUUCGAGUUGACACGACCCGUUUACCCGCUUAAUAAUCGUGGCAUUGAUCAGGUAAAUGAGUUAAAAAUUUCGACCCUAACCCGACAGAGAAAAAAGUCGUGUUGACCCGGACCCGACCCAUUUAAUAAUCGUGUCAAAUUUAGCGACCCAAACCUAUUUAUUCGUAUUGGGUUCGUGUCGGGUAUUCGGAUCGUGUCAAAUUUUGCUAGCUCUAGAGUCACUCAGUUCUCCAACUUGACGCAAAAUGAGGUAAAAAUAAACAUUUUAAGGGAAUAAGAAAAGUAAUUCAUCAUAUAAGUUGUACAUACCCUGUUAGAACUCCAGCCGUCCACCUCAUACAAAAAGGAGAGUGGACUUGAAGAUGGAAGCCAUCGCCCACUGAUGCAUCAACCAUUAAAUUACCCUGAUAUCAGAAUUAUGUGGAAACAUAAAUUUAAAACAGAACCCAUAAAUCAGAAAUUUGCAUGGUCAUUAAAACUCCUUUGCAGUUUAGAAUACAAGGCAAUGAAGAAUAAAUCAAAAGUAUAUGGUCCCCUUGGAAAAAAGAAACACCAAAAUAGGAAGAAAGAGCCCUCUACCCUCACAUCUUGUGACCUGUAAAGUUAAUACAGAUAGAAGCUCUCUCAAUUCUUCCAUAAAUUUUCAUUUGGGUAUUAUUAUGUAGUUCAUGUUAAAAUAUACAAAAUCUUCCAAUUCCUAACACAUUCACAAAUGUGGACCAGCUAAGCCUGAACAAAAACAAAAAUCAAGAAAUAAGCAAGAUAGUGACAUUCCAAUUUGUGUUUCAAACAAAUAAGUUCAAAUAUGCAUGGAAAAGAUAAUUAUUCAAAUUCAAAAAGAAAUUUGUUCGCAUUACUAUUGUUCAAUCUCAGUAUCAACUUAUCACCUUCCAAGACAUUACAACAUUCGACCUGAUUCCCACUGUAGUUAUGAUCUCCAGUUAGGAUUGAAAGCUUUUCCAGGGUUAGCCAUAGAGAUCAUGAUAAAAAAGCAUACAGUGCUUAUACUCAUCAAGUAAAAUUUCAGCAACCUGUUUCCAGGAGUACUCUAGUAGCUUGGUGUUUGCGAUUCCCAAUUUCUUGGCCUGUGGAUGUAAUUACGAUAGGCCACAUACCCCUUCCCGUUGCAUCUCCAAUCCUUCAAUAUAGAACAAUGUGGGAAGCAAUUGCUUAAUCAUCAAAUAAAAUUAAUAUACAGAUCAAAGUUGAAUGUAGAUUCACCAACCGGAAAAGGACACACGUUGAACUUGAACACUCAUAAUUAUUUAAAACUUAAUGAUAACACGAUAAUUUAUAUUACGCUGAAUUUAAACAUCCCACGCGACAAAAAGGAGGAAAAAAAGAAGUUACCAGUCGGCGACGGACGCCAGACUCGGCUUUGCGAAAGAGAAGGAGGCGUCGAACGGCGAUGUAAUCGGGAUCGGAAUCAGCUGUUGCCGGUUGAAGCAUGCAACUGAACAGUUCUGGAUCUAUUACAUUCUCUUUGUCUUCGUUAUUUUUAUUGGGAAAAUGAUGUUUGCCCCGGGUCAAACCCCGGGUCAAACCCCGAAAAUAACUUAAACGGCGUCGUUUUGAUUAUUUUUUUUUUCUUUGAAAAAUUCCAAAACGACGACGUUUCUGAUGAUAUUUUGAGAAGAAUAAAAUCUAUCCUCCUCUUCGUUUUCGUUUCUUCGUUUCACCUGUGAAAGAACAGAGUAACAGAGCAACACAGAGAGAGAGAGAGAGAGAGAGGACUUCAACCGUCCAAAAUGUAGUAACUUCAAAAGUUAUGCUUAACACUAAUUCUAAGUCCAUAAAAACUAUAGGUAAACUACUCCAACCUCACAAUUAUCAAACCCCACUGAAACAAAUUUAUUAGAAAUUACAACUCCAAUCACAAUAAAAAAAAAAAAAAAUUGUUCCCUGUGACAACCACGAUCUUCAAGCUCCACCAAUUCUUUAGCCUUCUCAAUCAUUCAUUCUACAAGCAGUUGUAGAAUCACAAGGCACAAAACUAAUUACUAAAACUCUUUUUGCAGAGAUUCAUCUUUCUCGCAAACAAUCACAAUAAAUAAUUAUAGCUUCUAGCGUCAGACCCAACAUUUUUAUUUACUAUUCUCUUCCAAAUCUUCUUAACUUCCACCGCCAUUUUCAUCCAGCCAUGUCGUCAAACAUAUCGAGGGCAAUCUCCAACACACCAACUUCUCCAACAUGGCUUUCUACUACUUACGGUGUUCGAGAAUAUUCAAUCUGUAUCUUUCACAAAUCUAUCUUCCUCUUCGUUUUCGUUUCUUCGUUUCACCUGUGAAAGGACUUCAACCGUCCAAACUCAGCUUGUCCAAACUCAUCUUUCAACCGUCCAAACUCAGCUUUCAAGGACACAUUUCGCAGCCGAAACUCAGUCGAAACUCAGCUGCUGUUGGUCUUGUUCUUCAAUGGGUGUGAAACGAAAAACAAACUCAAACGACGAGGAUGGAGCUUUAAUUAGUAGAUCCCGUUCUGCUGUCGAUGAGUGCUCCGACUGUGGAUCUCGGUCGAGGAUGGAAGAAACGAAAAAGAAACGAACAAACGAAAAAGAAAAUAAAAGAAAACGACGCAAAUCAUUCAAUAAACAAACGAAAAAGAAAAAAAAAAAAAAAGAAACGACGCAAACGACGCCGUUUUGUAUUUUUCGGGGUUUGACCCGGGGUUUGACCCGGGGCAAACAUCAGCACUCUUUUUAUUGUCUUUAUUAUUAUUAUUAUUAUUAUUAUUAUUAUUAUUAUUAUUGUUAAAUAAAUAACAGUGAGUUAACAAUUAAGAACAACAAAAAAAUAGCAACUGGAAAAAAAAAGUAAGAACAUCAAUUGGAAAUGACGAAACAGGGAAAAGAAAUUAACGAAACAAAAGAAAUAAACUCGAGACCUGUAACACAGUGUCCUUAAAACAGAUUUACCACAUACUGCAAUGCUUUAGGUUUAUUGGUAAUUGUUUUUCAGGAUACAACGGAUACGAAUUAUCCGUCAAGCACUGACAAAUAAUUCCGGUAAACCACAAUAACGUUCAAACUCGAUAAAAAAACAGAACGUCAGAAGGAGGAAAGAAAUUUCUUACAUGUAAGAAAGAGAAGAUGAAGAUGCUUUUUUAUACAUAUGUGAGGAUGUAACAGUAGCAUAGUAUUGAAUUUCCGAAUUCAAUAUAUGCCAUUUAAUUGUUAUACACAUUUCGGCUGACGAGUUCAACCAAAUCAGUCUUAGAUUCGCACCCCCCCUGCGCACGCGCGUGUGGAAAGAGCCUUUAUCUUUAUAAUUCUUACUCAUGCAUGGGUAAGUGUCUAUAUAUAAACACAAAUCCUUUAGCUUAUUUUUCUCUUGUGAGAUAAACCUCAUUUCCUUUCAAAUUUUCAACUUCAAUAAUGCACUUUGAGAGACAAUUUCUCAUUCACCUAAAUAUCAUUUUGAGUAAAUAAAUAUAAACUUUUGAAAUAUUCACGGAAUAGAAUCAAAACCCAAAAUUUCUCACAUUCGCUAAGUGGGACCCACUCAAAAUAUGCUCUCAAAAUAACAUAUUGAACAAUUAUUAAUAUCGCUAAUGUUGUCGUUAUUAGCUUCUAUCGGUGAUGUUGAUGUUGAGCUACUUAGCUGCUCCGCCAUUCAACCGGACACGCCGUGUUACCUCAUCAGCCGCCGUUCGUACGGAUAAAGAUCUGGCAAGCGUGUUGAUCAGAAUCAGGGGUUCUGGUUGAUUUGAUCAGUGGAAGCUUAAGUGAAUGUGUUUGUUUUCUUAAAAUUGUGUUGAAUCAAACCGAUGGAUCAAUGAAUGAAUCAAAAUAUUCGCAGACAGUUUGUGCAAUUGUGCUCUGUGCUUGGGCACUUCGAAAUGAAAAUGCCAACUCAGUAACUACGAGACGAGCUUUUUACAUUUUCUUCCGUAAAAAAUGACGACGUUGCAUUCCUAAGUUGACUCCAAAUAGAAUAAUAAUAUUUUCAUUUUCAAUGUACUUUUAUAUAAUUUUGCAAACUUUGGAUCACUUCAAAAAAAAAUUAAGGGAUUUUAUUAGAUUUUACUUUGAGAAAUUGGAUUCGGGACUGGAUUUUUCUUCUCUUAAAUUCAAAACUCCCUCUUGGAUAUGAUUUCUCGAGUUCAAAUCUUUGACCUGAUUGAUGAUUAAGGAAUAGGAUUCUCGGUGAGGGAAUACUAUCCUUUCUUGAUUUGAGUUUUCUUAAAGGAAUUGAUAUAAGCUUUAUUGAGUUUUUAAAAAUUUGCUAUCACGUAUUUAAUAAUAGUUAUAGGUAAAAUUUAACUUUUUUUAAUUAAUAACUAUUAAUCAACACUUCAAUUAUUUAUUUAGUAUAUGAUCAUAUCAGAAGAAAAUAAUAAUCCUUCUACUAUAGAAUUGUUGACCUUUACGGUAACUUUACUUAUAAGAUCAUACUAUCCUUUAAUUAUGGGAUAGUUGACAUUUACUGUAACUUUAAUUAUAAGAUCAUAUUAUCAGUAGAUUAAAGUUUUUUCAUCUUAUGUUAUAACUCAUACAAAUGUUUAAAAGAAAUUUGGUGAGUAAAUUUAUUGUCUAGAAAUGACUAAAUAACAACUGGCUGAAAGCCAAACAUUUGACCUGUAUGAAUCAUAUAGUUUUGCUUUAUCGAUAGGCAAGAACAACGUAUACAAAUAGCAUUACAUUAAAGAUUGAAAUUAUCAAUGACUCAGGAUUUUGUAUUUAUUCCAGGAUCAAGUUGUGUAUAUAUCUCAUGAAUCUGCUGUUGUAGAAUCAUCAAUUGGACUCCAAAAUCUGUUCAAAAACCACAUGGAAUCAGCUUCCACGGCAUACCCAUCUUGAUUGCGGUUCCAACCGUAGUAAGCAUGAGUUCGGUUCUUGAUCUCAAAAAUGGCAUGGCCAAAACUGGCCUCACGAUAAGCUGAGUAUGCUGGCUGUGGCUCCGUCAUGCUGUAUCGACAAGAAAUAUUAGUAUCUGACUACAAACCCAAAAAAUAAAAUCCGCUUUAUGUGAAAGAAGAUUGAUUAUAUGUACAAUGAUCUUACUUGGUUACUAAGCCCUCAAGAUUGCCUCCAUCACCAAUGGUUAUGUACACGGGUGCAGAUAGAUCCUUAACGGGACUGCAAAGACCAUUCACGACAUUGUAUGCAAUGUUGGAAACACGUUCCUGCAAUUUCAAUAUACAAGUUGUCUUGAGUAAGGGCAGAAAGGAGAAAUACUUUUCAUAUUUCCAUAAGCAGAGAUGAAUAUCAUUUUGAAAAACAAAAGAAGACAGAAAAUUGCACGCUUCUGAAGCACAUUCUAAGAGUGCUAAAGCUAUCAUAACUAUACAAGGAGACUUGAAGAAACUAAAAAUCAGUUUAGAAUGUAAUAUCAUUGAAGGAAUACUUACAGAUCGUUCAUAGGCAUGGACAUGGCCUGCAAAGACCACAUCAACUUUGUACUUCACAAACCAUGGUUCGUACAUUACUCUCAUGGUUUCUCCUUCCAUGUAAUGAUAGUUGUAGCUAUUAUACCAAGGGGCAUGCAUGAGAACAAUCAACCAUGGUGUCUCACUUCGGUUGACUUUUGGUAGCUCCUCUUCCAGCCAUUUAUACUGAGGAGUGUAUUUUCCUAGAGAAACAGAGAAAUUUAGUCGGUAGCAGAAACUUGGAAGAAGUAUGCGAGGCCGUUGCCAGAAUUUGAGUUAUCAUUGAAAUUACUAAAUACCAAAACAACACUACAUGGAGAUCCAGAAAACUACAAAGAGAUAUGUCCCCAUGAAGUGUGAACACAACGUUCCUUUAUCAAAAUUUUCAGUUGGAAAAACACAAUGUGUUCUCCCUUAGAGUGAAUCAGGUACAUUGACCCAAAGCAAGGAGCACAAAAAUCACAAAGCAGCUAGAAGGUAGUCUUUGUUUAGCAGUUUUUGGAUCACCACAAAUGCGCUCAGAAGUCAGAACUGCUAGUUAAACAUAAAUUUUUGUUGCAGACGUGCAUCGUGCACAAUUGUGAAGUUUGAAAUUCUUGUUAAUAACUGUAGGUAAUAACACAUCCUUACCGUAUGCUGAGUAUGAAGACAAGACUAUGAUGUAAGCUGAAGCUCUCUUUAUCGAAUACCAAAAGGGAGCAGUACUUCCCGAUGCUCUGUAAGGAACAUGAUAACGGUGGGAAUAAGGCUUGAAAGGUACGGUUUCACCCUGCAACAAAGAUACAACUCUUCUCUCUUACCAUUUACUGACGGUUACAAAUCCAACAAUAGCAAAAGCAGUAACAGUUAUAGCAUACUUUUUCCAAGUUCUAAUUUUAUUUCAUUUUCCAGCCCCAAUCUAAAGAAUAAUGGGCAUGCCUAGCUCAUGAGACAUAGAGAACCCUUAGCCCCUAGGGAAGCCAAAGAUGCGAGCCAUUCUCAUAACUAGGCAGUGAAGCAGUAACAAUUAGCUACCAAUGGAAGAUUUGACAGAUUAGGAAUCUAGCUGCAAUAGUUUUUCAGAUUGAAGACAACACUGCAUGAUUGAAAAUAAAUUGUCUGAGAGGUAUACUACAUAGCAAUUCUUCUGCUAAACAGAUAUCAUAGAACUGCUGAUUCAUGUUAGGAAAUGGAAAAUUGAUAAAUGUAUACUUUCCAAGGAUAUCUUAAGAUACGCUUACGAUUUCUGGGUAAAAGUCAAUUUCGUGAUUUCCGGCUGUCCAUAUCCAAGGUUGAUAAGCAGCACUUCUUUCAACGAACCUUCCCCAUGUAUCCCACCUAUUAUUAUCGUGACAAGGAUAGUUGUCAGCAUAAGAUAAGUCCCCAACAAACAACAGAGUCUGCCCCUUUCGUGGAUUCCUCUCAUAAUGAGUAAGUGUCACAUUUGAAUCAUAACUCUGACCAAGAUCCCCUGCAAGCCAAGCCCCAAUGGUAACUUAGACAUACACACAUACAUAUAGAUAUAACAAGCACCAAAGGACAAAGAUUUCAUAGAGUUCCUAUAAAAUUUUGUCAGAAUCACUACUAAAAAGCAAAACGAAGUAACAAUUCCAAAUUGGAAUUACCAAUGAGACCAAAUGAAUAUGGGACAUCAGGGCCAACUUCAGGAGGAGUCACAAACCAGAAUUGUCUUUCGGUGUGUCCAAUGCCAACCACAUAGUAAUAUUUAGUAUUGAACUGCCAAGAAUUCACACAAAGAAUAAAAUCAACAUAAUAUUCAAAAUGAAAGUUCUUCAAUUACAAAUAAAUUUACAAUACAAAAUAUUCACCUCUAAAUGUCUGAUAGUGCAGUGAUGAAUGUAACCAGAAGUAUAAUUGUAGUAUUUAUAAGUAUAAACUUUGCCCUCAGCCUGUUCCUUCUGCUCGCUAUUUUCACUCCAAUAAACCACUGUAUUAGUGCCUGGCUCAUCCACUGUAACCCACGACACUAUCACUGCCUUCCCCACAAGAUCCCCUUGAGUUAUAUGAACCUAAAAAAAAAUAUUAAAAUUAUCUUUAUAAAAAAAAAAAAAACCAUACCCUUUAUUUAACUUAGGAAAACAAACAAACUUACGAAGAUGAGAGACAAUAAAAGUGAAAAGGAUCAAAGAAAAGGAACCUGCUGAGGAGCAUUAUAGCCAGGAGGGACUUGAAAGACAUCAGCAUCAAUGGGCAUGUCAAUGGUCUUUUCAACUUUCCUGACAAAGCUGCUAGUUUUGCCUCCAAUAACAAGCGAAGCUGCAUUCAAAACCAAACAGAAAACGGCAACAACAAGAGGAGAAGAGAAACCAAGCAAACCCAUUUGAGUAUUCUCUGCAAACAACUCAACACAUUGUCGUUUUGUUACGGUCGAUAUACAGAUAUAUAUAUAGAAACUUACCGUUUUAACAUAAAAUUACGAGGAAUAUUCGGAGGGAAAUACGAAUUAUAUACGUAAAGGUCAACUUUUAUUUUAUUUAUUUUUGAAUGCCAAUAAGACUCUUUUUGGCUGAGCCCGAACUUGAACCAGAUGUCAUUGCUUGAGGAGAAAACUAAAGAAUUAGCACAUAGAUUGGAGAAGAA